AUUGCAGGGAGAGGCUCCUCCGUGCUCCUGAGAGGCCGAACACAGGGUCGCCAGCACAGCUUACUGCUCGGUGUCUCCUGAGCCACAGAGGAAGACGUGGCAGGAGCACCUGGUGCUAAUAUAUAUUCAUGUCUAUGGCAAUGCCGACCAUCUGGCUGGUCUGAACCAGGAUAAAAGUGAAGAAUUCCUCUGUGAAGACCCAGCUCUUUCUUUGGCUCCUUUUUUGAAGCCAUCUUUGCUCUGCUCUCCUCUGCUGCCCAGGUGCGCUGGCAGCUGAUUAGAUGGUGCCCAUCCAGAUUAAGGAUCCAUGGGUGAGCAGCAGUGGAUGUGCAGUGAAAUUCACAGCAGGCAGAUGGGAACGUGGAGAAAUUCUACAAACCUUUGGGAGCCAGACAGCUCCAACCUCAAGAAGCCAAAUGCCAGCUCUACGAGGACAGGAACAUUGUCUGUCUUGUUCGUUGUUGCUUUCCCAGAGCUUGGACUAGGUCUGUGACAUGUCACAUUUAAUAAGUGAAAAAAAUUAAUGGAUGGAUUGCUCUACAGAGAAGAGAUAUUCAAGUCACUUCUGAAUAAGUUCUCAGACAACAACUUCUUGUGUAUAGUCGUGUACCACAUGAUGUUUACUUCAACAGCAGACUGCUAUGUGAUGGUGGUUCUGUAAGAUUAUAUCGGAACUGAAAAAUUCCUAUUACCUAGUGAUGUCUUAGCCAUCCUAAAGUCAUAGGGUAGUGCAUUACCUUUUCUAUGUUUAGAUAAACAAAUACCAUUGUUUUACAGUUGCCUACAGAAUUCAGUAUAGUGACACACUCAACAGGGUUAUAGUAUAGGAGCAAUAGGCUAUACCAUAUAGCCUAGGUGUAUAGUAGGCUGUACCAUCUAGGUUUGUAUAAGUACAUGUUCACACGAUGACAAAAUUGCCUAAUGACUAAUUCCUCAGAACAUACUCGUAUCUGUAAGCAAUGUAUGACUAUGUUCUGUAGAAUUAGGGAAUGCAGCUGGGUGGGGUGGCUCACGCCUGUAAUCCCAGCACGUUGGGAGGCCGAGGUGGGCGGAUCACCUGAGGUCGAGAGUUCGAGACCAGCCUGACCAACAUGGAGAAACUCCGUCUCUACUAAAAAUACAGAAUUAGCCGGGUGUGGUGGCGCAUGCCUAUAAUCCCAGCUACUUGGGAGGCUGAGGCAGGAGAAUCACUUGAACCCCGGAGGCAGAGGUUGCGGUGAGCCAAGAUUGCGCCAUUGCACUCCAGCCUGGGCAACA
rnacentral:lncRNA from 1 species